rnacentral:rRNA from 1 species
UACGGGGGGUGCGAGCGUUGUCCGGAAUCACUGGGCGUAAAGGGCGCGUAGGUGGUUUGAUAAGGGUGUGGUGAAAGCCCGGGGCUCAACCCCGGGUCUGCCGUGCCGACUGUUAAACUCGAGGGCUGUAGAGGCAGACGGAAUUCCGGGUGUAGCGGUGGAAUGCGUAGAGAUCGGGAGGAACAUCUGUGGCGAAGGCGACUGCCUGGACCAGCACUGACACUGAGGCACGAAAGCGUGGGGAG